rnacentral:lncRNA from 1 species
AAUGCACCGGGGCUUGCCUGGGAUAACACUAAGUGUUGUUAGAUGAUGACCACUUGGUGAGCAUCUUCCAUCCUGGCACUUGAUCAGAUCAUCCAUUCCUCUGGUUUAUUCGUUAGCAUCACUUUGAGGUUAAUCCAACACUUUUCCUCCACAUCGUGCGAUCAAAUAACGUACCUAAUUGAUAUGCAUAAUGCAUAUGAGUGAGAAUAAUUAUAAACAAUACAAGAUAAUAACACUAUGCCGAAGAGGGUAAUAUAUUGCUAGUAAGGCAUUACAACUCCUAGGCAAACACUAGCUACCUUUGAAUUAACAACGAUCAUGAUCCUCGAGCUAGGGGGACCUAAUUCAAAUAUUUGGAAAUCAUAACUAAACAUAUGCCUUAAGCUAAAGCAUAACAUUGAUAGGUUAUUACCCUUAGACUUGUCACUUUUUAACACUCAAAACUUGGAAAAGGUGAUAGAACAAGCAUCAAGAAAGCAGUACACUAGAACUUAGGUUCACUAGUGAUAGUCACCUAAGACUUAGAUUAAAGAUAUGAGUAGCUUAACUAGUUUCCUAAACUUCUUUCUCAAAUUAACUUAUUGUAACACACCAACUAAUAAAUCAUCACAUUUCUAUUCAAUCACACAAGUAGAACACUUAUCAUACAACAUAAAGUUCCAUAGAAUUUACAUCCUCAACAAUUAAAGAUCUAAAGCAUACAAGAUGAAAUAUAAUAAGUGUUCCAUACUUUCCUUAGAUUACUGAGUAUAGCACCUUAAGCUUGGGACACUUGUUCACUUGAAUUUAGCAAGUACAAGACUUCACCAAUCAAGAACUAACUAAAUUUACUUAGUCAAACAAUAAGAAGGAAAUGAAUUAAUCAAAUAUAAUAAGGCAUUUCGAUAAACACUUCAUAUGCAACAAGUUGUCAUCAAUCAAGGGUAAAAAAAAAUGACUAAUCCAACCUAGCCAAACAAGAGCAACUUCAAGAAAUCCACUUAAUGCUUGCUGGUUUUGUACAGCAGAACAACAGCUAGUUGUUUUAUUUAUAACUUACACAAUAUUCAUCCAAAAAUAGUAAACUAAGACUUUUUGGAAAGCUUAUAAAGUCCUCUAAAAUUUUGGUAUUAUCAUCACAAUGAGAUUCGACAUUUAGAAAUGUCAAACAGUACUAAACGCAAUUUCUGUCCAGAUUUGGACAGAAUUCGACUACUUACUUCAUUAAUUCAUAACUAAAGUUUCAGACAUCCAAAUCAGGUGAUUCUAGACUUUUUAGAAAGCUAAUAGAAUUGUCUAUAAUUCAUUUAUAAUCAUCUCAAAGUGAUUCAAUGUGUAUCGAAGUCAGUUAAUACAAACAAACAUUGCUGUCCAGAUUUGGACAGAUUCAGACUCUAUAGUUUGAACAGCUGUAACUUGGUCUCUAGACCACCAAAAAUGGUGCUCCAAAAUUUGUUGGAAAGCUUAAGCAAAGUACUACAAUUCUCCUAUAAUUACUAAGAGCUUACUCUCAGUUUAACUUGGGCAAACAAGGUCAUUUUCGAAAUCUGUACAGAAUCUGGACAGAUUCUGAAACUAGACUUAGAAAAAUCAUAACUCCUAAACUACUGAACCUAUGGUCAUGAAAUUUUUACACAAGUAAGAUAAAGAAGUUAUCUACAAGUUUUAUAUAUAACACUUCUACAGAAAACAUGGUUUACUUCAUUGAACUAGCUGCGCAAUUAAAACUGUACCUGCUGCCCGAAACAGUAAAAAUUCAAUUUAACUCCUAUUUUGGUUAACCACAGCUUAACAACGCAUCAAUCAAAGCAUUCCUUGCCUAAACAGAACCAUCCUCUGUGUUUUAUAACAUCCAUUUAAUUAUACUUGACAUAUGUACUCUCUAAAACACUUCUCGUAAAAUUUGCACCUAAUACCUAAACUUCCCCUCAAACAACACUUCUACUAUCCAAUCAUGACGUCAAAAAAAUCAUGACACACAACCAAAUUAUUUCAUCAUACAUCAAACACAACCACAAUGAUAAUUAUCUAACCAAACCAUUUAUUAAUUAAAUAGCCACAGAAAUGACUUGGCUCACCACAUCAUGAUCCGACUUGAUUUUUCUUGCAAGAACGACGACAGUUCCUUGGUCUCCCAUUUCGUCGAACACCCGGCGGGCGUCAUAUUGGACUGUGCUUCUUCUCCACUAAAUCCUGGGAUUUCCCCUCACAUCUCACACAUAAGCACACACAUACUCACAAUCAACCACAAACCACAUAUAUCGAUUAAGGAGAUAAGUAGCAUAAGACAAAGGGACCUCACCGAUGACUAUGAAUUGCACAAGUCAACAACUAGGCAUCCAUGGAGGGAGGUGCUGCUGUUCCUAGCAGAGAGGGGCUGGGCGAGCUCCUGCAGAGGGGAGUACGCCGAGCAGGAGGAGCCACCAUGGGCGAGCUCACCAUGGGAGGAAGUGAGGGCGCAGCUAGCUGCCAUCAAUGGAGAGCUGGAGACGUCAUGUGCAGCUCACAUCAGGAAGGGAUGAGCGCCAUGCUGCUAGCAAGGGUAUAGGGGAUGGUGGCGAGCAGAGGGGCUAGGAGAUGAGAGGGCACGGUGGAGGGGAUGGGGGAUAGGCGGCCAUGGGAGAAGCCAGGGAAGACAACGGCAGCUGCUGCUCCACAACUGCAAUCAGAGAAGGAGACACCGUGUGGGGGAAGCAAGGGAGGACGGCAUGGUGGAGGUAGCCAGGGCAGAGCGCCGUGAGGAGAUGAAGCCUGGCUUCGGUCGGCUGGGAGAAUUCCAGAAGGAAGACCACGUGGGGGAGGAGGUGGCAGUCUAGGAAGAGAAUAAGAAUUCAAAUUUUUUGUUUCUCCAAAUUUUUCUUUUACAAAAGACUACAAAAUUUAACUCUGUUCUUAAGUGGGGAUUUUUAGUGAGAUGCAAAUGGACCAACCAAAAUAAUAUUGGUUAUAAGAUUUCAGACGUGGUUGAUUUGGUUAAAAUCAGUUGUACAUUCAUCUGAUCAAUAAAUUUUUAAACAGGCACCAGACUCGACAUAUCGCGAAAUAAAUACGCGGGAUCGAUGUAGCAUCGAAAUUGUGAUCCUUUCGGAAGCGACGUCACGCAUCAUUCACGGGGCGAGAAGCUGGGCGCUGUCCAGACACCGGUUAGCACCCGCCACACGCGUCACGGUGUCAGGCCACAGAGAGACACGUGCAACGCAAGCGUGAAAGAAUUUCAAAUGAAGUUUAAGAAGCUACUUUUGAUUUCAAAAAUUAUAGUUUAGGCAAGACGUCGAGGGCUCAACCCAAACGAUACUGGAUUCGAUGUUCCAAAGAUUACCAAAGGCUGAAUUUUAAAAGAAAUGGAUUUGGAAAAAUUUAGACAGACGGAGGCAGACACGAGAUCAAAAUCGUGAUAAACGAGGUUGAUUAAAAAUUAGUGUCCAAUUUAUUUACCGAUAUCCCGCGCUUAAAUCCAUAGUCGCUGUUGAACGGGAGACAAACACCUGGGGUGUUACAACCUUCCCCCUUAAAAGAAUCUCGUCCCGAGAUUCAGAACGAAAGACUUCUAAGAGUAGAGAGGCAUGUAACUCUUGUCCAUAUCAGUUAUAAUCAUAAGACAGUUCCAAGCAAAGGCGAGUGUCUCAGAAUGUUGUUUCUCUAGUGGACAUAUCAUGUAUAGCCUUACGCUAAUUUAGAGAUGUCCACCAAUAGAGACGAUGUCUGCCAGAAGAACACAUAAGGUUUCACGUGUGCAGUUUGUUUUUUUUCUGAUGACACUGUACUAUCUGAGUCUGUUGAGCAAGCGACAGAUAUGCGAUUUUACCCAAACAGAAUCAGAUGCAACCUCUUGGGUAGAAAUCCAUUUGGUCAGGUUGUUCAUCCGUUUCUUCCAUGCGAAAUGAACAGACUUGGUUCGGGAAUACAUGGAUAAAAUAAGAGAGCGAAUGAACAAACUCCUGCAUCUCAGCAGCUGGGAAAGUCAAUCUCCAUUUUGAGAGCUAACCAGUUGUUUUCCCACACUAAAAAGCUCCAAGGCUUCACCUUUACAAAAAGGACAUAAAGGGAACUUGUAUGAGUAGUCACUACCAAGAUCAAAAGAAAAGAGAUCACAUAUGAAAGUGGUAUGCUCGUUUGAUCCAACAGAGACGAUAAAUGUUGCUUGAUCACUUCACAAACAACAUAGAAAUUGUUUCAAGGAAGUAGUUUACGGAAGACAACAUAUCAGUGUAGUUCCACAAUGGAUCAUGACUAGAGACCUUGAUACCAGCAUCCGACGAGUAGCACAUCCCUGUGUGCGCAUUCAAAGGAGGCUCUCAGUUUCGCUGCGGCACCAUAAGUCCUUAAUCGUGACACCACUACCGAACUGACACCAAUAACAAUCUCACAUAGCAAAAAUAGAUUGUGCCAAGAUAACACAUUGACAUAGUCUCAUAAUGGAUUACAACUACUAACUGUGAUACCAGCGCGUGCCGAGUAGCACAACCAUGUGUGCGCACCCACAGAAGGCCCUCGAUUUCGUCGCAGCACCAUCGGUUUUAGUCAUAACACCAUUACUAGAUGUAACCAAUAAGAAAUCUCAUGCGGUACAAAUGGAUUGAGCAAGGGUGACAAUAUACAAUGAGAUACUCCACAUGUAAGAAUGAUUACAAGUAGAGAUCCAAAUAGAUCAUGGCCCGAUGAACUGAACAAGGCAUGGCCAUGACCUAAACUUAUUGGUGAGCGAGUACGAUGGGAGACUGAUACUUCAUCCCCAAGCAUAUUUCUAUGCCCAUCGCAGAAAUUACAAGGUCAAGGAUUAUUAUCUGAUUAGAUACGGAGGGAAAACAAUCAUAGGAUUAAGUUGGUAUGCCUUUGAUAGAUAUGAGAAAACCAAAGGCACCGAACUCAGUAAAAUGAUCGGACAUAUCUUUCCUAAGUUAGGUCGAUAAAGUCACAUGGCGGUCCAUAAAAACAGGCAAACUCGAUAAGGUACAUCAGCUUGCACCAACCGAACAAAGGUAUGUUUUAGGAUGAAAAUAGGACCAUAAGAGCUACAAGUUGGCUGUUAAGAUCAGGGGACUCGAGAUUAUUAUUUUUUUAAGUUUGAGUGCAUCUUAGGUCCAAUAAGGGGAUUACCUAAACAUCUAUUUAUAUGACCUUGAUCACAAAGUAACGAUGGAAAAAUUCAGACUCGUCCGCAUUUGGAAACUGGGGAAAAUUUCAGGGGAUUAACAUCGAUUUGGGUCAUGGCUCCUAGAUGAGGACAUGUCCAAAUUUUUAGUUUACACAAACAUACCACCAACAUUCUAUCAGCAGAAACACACCAGAACAAACACAAGUUAGACUAGCGGUCAAAUUAAGAAGAACCUCAGGCCACAUAAAAACAUGUCUAAAGGACACAUCAAACAAAGCUAGAAAUUACUUAUAGGACAGUAAUGCUUCACACAGUUUUCAGUUAUUUAUUAUCAGAAUAAAGAUGAGAAAAGCAUGUUCAUUUACAAUCACCUAUUAUUAGAAUAAAGGUGAGGGAAGCAUUUCUGUGCGCAAACAACAAACACAAUGCAACAAUCAAGAUGCAUGCUCGUCCUAUUCGUCCUCACGAAUUUUGCCAACUUAAUAUGGCAAUAGCGCUCUAUAUCGGUGGCAUAUCUACGUCUCUCUCGAUAUAUUGCUAGUCGUCAGCUACACAUACGAGUUCGAAGUUAGUGUACCUGUAGAAAAAUCCAUUACAGCCCAAUUCCCAAUGAUGCAAUUCACACAUGACAGUUUAUCACAGUUUAUACUCCAUAUAUUGCUAUAUGGAGGCCAGCUCCUCAUUAAGCGCCGAGCCACGCAUAGGCGCCGCUGCCACACUUUAACCACAGGGCAGCCCAUUGUGGUACAUUACCUUCUUACCUAAGCGUAGGUGUGUCGUUGCAAGUACAUUACACUUCUCAGUAUUCCCAUGUCUGUAUACCCAUACACAUCCAUGGGGUACUGAAUCCCAAAAAGUAAUUACUCCACUUCGCAGCCUUCAUAUAUACAUAUGUGUAACAUGUAUAUAAUCAAGCGCUUUUUAUGCUCUUCCCUAGACCGACGGUUGUUCGGUCAUGCUCUCACAUCUCACCUUACCUUGAGCGUCGAUCCAUUCAAAACUGAAUGACCUCAAAAAUAACAUUACACAUGUAUGCAUUACCCUUCCCAGAUUGUGGGUUAGUAUUCUGAACUAAGCCACCUAAUAGUCCUUAAUUUAGGGCUUAACAGAGGAUGUCGCUAGCAUUAUAGUUUUUCAAAUAUGUUUUUCAAAACCAAACAAUGUGUUUAGUUGAAAAUAGAUUUUUCAAAACCAAAAUUUUGUUUUAAAAAUACGUAUGUGACCGUAUCAUACUUAAUCAAGCUCCGAUGCCAGCUGUCGCAGAACCUCCCAAGUUAUCGGGCCCACAUGCACCUGUCCUUGUCUCAAAGACCUCAGACAGCUAUGCAUGUGCACCAAACAACUUAACAGGAUCUGUACGAGUGCCCCGAGGACCCCGGAUAAAUGACUUACCGCCAAGAUCGCAAGAUUAAGUAAACACAAAUCACACACCAAUAUUUGCAGCGAAAAUAAAUUAUUUAUUACAAAAUGGUUACAAGUUACAACAUUUACAAGUUAUAGCAAGAUUACAAUAUAUAUCAUCGGAGUUGGUUACAAAAGAAAUUGAUUCAAAAAGAUUACAAUUUGAAUGUAUAAAACAUUUAUAAGUUUUAAAAUACAUGCUAGCUUAAGUGACAAUCCUCAAUAAAGAAGCUAAAGAUGGGAUAUACUUAUAUAAGAAGGCCGAGCCCACCGGCACUUAGCAGCAUCCACAACAGAACAAAAUUAUAACCUGAAAAACAACAGGGAAUAAAACCCUGAGUACACAAUUACUCAGCAAGACUUACCCGACUAAAGAAAAGACUCUCAAGGGUAUGCUGGUUUAUUGGGAAUCAAGGUAAGGCUCAUCAAAUUUCAAAGACUCGUUUUUGCAGAAAAGCAUACUAGUAGUGGAUCCUUAUGCCAAAAUUUUACUUCACAAGUUAAGUACUUUUCCUGAAUCUAGAUUUGCCUAAUCUAGAGCAUUCACUUGUCCUACACUAGCUUCCUUUUAUCAACUUUAGUUUCACUUGUUAUCUACGAUGCAGGGCAGUGAUCCAGUCUUCAUAUCCGAGAAGUAACGGCGAUCCGAAUCGAUUAAUACUCAGCUGAGGAUCUCCAACCACACGAUAUAUGUAGCACUUAACCCUUGCAUAUGUCAACUCGCCACCGGGUUUCUCAAGACCAGAACGGGUUCACGCGACCCGAGAGUACAGCACUCCACCGUCCAGCCAUUGGCCUGGUUGGUACACGUUACUCUCGCCAUGGUGCCCGCCAUGUUUCCGAGAGUACAGCACCCCACCUUCCAGUCUCUUGCCACGGAGGGUACAAGCUACUCUCGCCAUCGCUCCACUUCCAGUGCGUGCGAGCUGUUCUGGUAUUGGUCCGACCGAGGCAAAGCUUACCCAUGAUGAGGCAUGUGGCCAGUUAAAGGGUCCUAGAUCAGCAGGCCAACAAUCGGAACGGUCCUUAAGCGACACAGACGAGCGACCUUUCCUGCUCAGUGUCUGGUCUAGAUUUAUUCCAACCAUUCUCCCAUUUUUGGUACCCGACAGGGGUACUUUUUCUGGAUGUUGAAUCCAUCAUGGCCAUAUGGAUUCACCAUCCCAAUUUCUUGUUCACAACAAUUUCCCAUAUCCCGUGUAACACAUCAUCUUUUUUUAAAAAGAACAACUUUUAAUUAUCUAAGCAGGGCUAAGCAUCUUUAGUUCUCUUUAUAAAAAGAGGAAUCAAGGAAGAUAAUCAAAUUCCAAGGAAUGGCAAUGCAUCAAUUGUUUCAUCACUCAACUCCUAUCACCUAAUGCAACAUAUAAGUGAUAAAAGUUUUAUAACAACAAGGAGGUGGCAAAUGCACCGGGGCUUGCCUGGGAUAACACUAAGUGUUGUUAGAUGAUGACCACUUGGUGAGCAUCUUCCAUCCUGGCACUUGAUCAGAUCAUCCAUUCCUCUGGUUUAUUCGUCAGCAUCACUUUGAGGUUAAUCCAACACUUUUCCUCCACAUCGUGCGAUCAAAUAACGUACCUAAUUGAUAUGCAUAAUGCAUAUGAGUGAGAAUAAUUAUAAACAAUACAAGAUAAUAACACUAUGCCGAAGAGGGUAAUAUAUUGCUAGUAAGGCAUUACAACUCCUAGGCAAACACUAGCUACCUUUGAAUUAACAACGAUCAUGAUCCUCGAGCUAGGGGGACCUAAUUCAAAUAUUUGGAAAUCAUAACUAAACAUAUGCCUUAAGCUAAAGCAUAACAUUGAUAGGUUAUUACCCUUAGACUUGUCACUUUUUAACACUCAAA